rnacentral:rRNA from 1 species
AUUGAACGCUGGCGGCAGGCCUAACACAUGCAAGUCGAGCGGAUGAAGAGAGCUUGCUCUCUGAUUUAGCGGCGGACGGGUGAGUAAUGCCUAGGAAUCUGCCUGGUAGUGGGGGAUAACGUUCCGAAAGGAACGCUAAUACCGCAUACGUCCUACGGGAGAAAGCAGGGGACCUUCGGGCCUUGCGCUAUCAGAUGAGCCUAGGUCGGAUUAGCUAGUUGGUGAGGUAAUGGCUCACCAAGGCGACGAUCCGUAACUGGUCUGAGAGGAUGAUCAGUCACACUGGAACUGAGACACGGUCCAGACUCCUACGGGAGGCAGCAGUGGGGAAUAUUGGACAAUGGGCGAAAGCCUGAUCCAGCCAUGCCGCGUGCGUGAAGAAGGUCUUCGGAUUGUAAAGCACUUUAAGUUGGGAGGAAGGGCAUUAACCUAAUACGUUAGUGUUUUGACGUUACCAACAGAAUAAGCACCGGCUAACUUCGUGCCAGCCGCCGCGGUAAGAC